UAAAACUCAAAGGAAUUGACGGGGGCCCGCACAAGCGGCGGAGCAUGCGGAUUAAUUCGAUGCAACGCGAAGAACCUUACCAAGGCUUGACAUACACGAGAACGCCCUAGAAAUAGGGAACUCUUUGGACACUCGUGAACAGGUGGUGCAUGGUUGUCGUCAGCUCGUGUCGUGAGAUGUUGGGUUAAGUCCCGCAACGAGCGCAACCCUCGUUCUAUGUUGCCAGCGCGUAAUGGCGGGAACUCAUAGGAGACUGCCGGGGUCAACUCGGAGGAAGGUGGGGAUGACGUCAAAUCAUCAUGCCCCUUAUGUCUUGGGCUUCACGCAUGCUACAAUGGCCGGUACAAAGGGCUGCAAUACCGUAAGGUGGAGCGAAUCCCAAAAAGCCGGUCUCAGUUCGGAUUGAGGUCUGCAACUCGACCUCAUGAAGUCGGAGUCGCUAGUAAUCGCAGAUCAGCA
rnacentral:rRNA from 1 species